AGAGUUUGAUCAUGGCUCAGGAUGAACGCUGGCGGCGUGCCUAAUACAUGCAAGCGAACGAGGUAGCAAUACCGAGUGGCGAACGGGUGAGCAACACGUAGGUAACCUGCCCUUAAGCUUGGGAUACCCAGAGGAAACUUUGGCUAAUACCGGAUAACAACAGAGAAGGCAUCUCUUUGCUUGAAAGGCCCUUCAAGGGUCACUUAAGGAUGGACCUGCGGCGCAUUAGCUAGUUGGUGAGAUAACAGCCCACCAAGGCGAGGAUGCGUAGCCGAACUGAGAGGUUGAUCGGCCACAUUGGAACUGAGACACGGUCCAAACUCCUACGGGAGGCAGCAGUAAGGAGUUUUCGGCAAUGGGGGAAACCCUGACCGAGCAACGCCGCGUGAGCGAUGACGGCCCUAAUGGGUUGUAAAGCUCUGUUGUAAGCCAUGAAUGACAGCUUUAGGAAAUGAAAGCUAUUUGACGACAACUUACCAGAAAGCCACGGCUAACUACGUGCCAGCAGCCGC
rnacentral:rRNA from 1 species